rnacentral:rRNA from 1 species
UACGUAGGGGCUAGCGUUAUCCGGAAUUACUGGGCGUAAAGGGUGCGUAGGUGGUUUCUUAAGUCAGAGGUGAAAGGCUACGGCUCAACCGUAGUAAGCCUUUGAAACUGGGAAACUUGAGUGCAGGAGAGGAGAGUGGAAUUCCUAGUGUAGCGGUGAAAUGCGUAGAUAUUAGGAGGAACACCAGUUGCGAAGGCGGCUCUCUGGGCCAGUACUGACGCUGAGGAGCGAAAGCGUGGGGAGCAAACAGGAUUAGAUACCCUGGUAGUCCCUGAG